AUUGAACGCUGGCGGAAUGCUUUACACAUGCAAGUCGAACGGCAGCACGGACUUCGGUCUGGUGGCGAGUGGCGAACGGGUGAGUAAUGUAUCGGAACGUGCCCAGUCGUGGGGGAUAACGUAGUGAAAAUUACGCUAAUACCGCAUACGAUCUAUGGAUGAAAGCGGGGGAUCGCAAGACCUCGCGCGAUUGGAGCGGCCGAUAUCAGAUUAGGUAGUUGGUGGGGUAAAGGCCCACCAAGCCAACGAUCUGUAGCUGGUCUGAGAGGACGACCAGCCACACUGGAACUGAGACACGGUCCAGACUCCUACGGGAGGCAGCAGUGGGGAAUUUUGGACAAUGGGCGCAAGCCUGAUCCAGCCAUUCCGCGUGCAGGAUGAAGGCCCUCGGGUUGUAAACUGCUUUUGUACAGAACGAAAAGGUUUCUACUAAUACUAGGAGCUCAUGACGGUACUGUAAGAAUAAGCACCGGCUAACUACGUGCCAGCCGCCGCAGUAA
rnacentral:rRNA from 1 species